rnacentral:rRNA from 1 species
CCUACGGGUGGCAGCAGUGGGGAAUAUUGCACAAUGGGGGGAACCCUGAUGCAGCGACGCCGCGUGAGUGAAGAAGUAUUUCGGUAUGUAAAGCUCUAUCAUCAGGGAAGAAAAUGACGGUACCUGACUAAGAAGCCCCGGCUAACUCCGUGCCAGCAGCCGCGGUAAUACGUAGGGGGCAAGCGUUACCCGGAUUUACUGGGUGUAAAGGGAGCGCAGACGGCUGUGCAAGUCAGGAGUGAAAGGCGGGGGCGCAACCCCCGGACUGCUGUGGAAACUGUAAAGCUGGAGUGCAGGAGAGGUAAGCGGAAUUCCUGGUGUAGCGGUGAAAUGCGUAGAUAUUAGGAGGAACACCAGUGGCGAAGGCGGCUUGCUGGACUGCAACUGACGUUGAGGCGCGAAAGCGUGGGGAGCAAACAGGAUUAGAUACCCCUGUAGUC